AAGCGGCGUCGCAGAGGGUGACAACCCCGUGGGCGUCGGGUCGGCUCGCUCCUCGAGCCCGUUCCGCAGAGUCGGGUUGCUUGGGAAUGCAGCUCUAAGUCGGUGGUAAAUCCCAUCGAAGGCUAAAUACUGGCGGGAGACCGAUAGCGAACAAGUACCGUGAGGGAAAGAUGAAAAGAACUUUGAAAAGAGAGUGAAAAAGUGCCUGAACUUGUUGAGAGGGAAGCGAUGGGGAUUCGUUGCUCCUUCCCCGGCCGAUGCCUCGGCGAUGCCGUGGUUCGACGCCGGUGGAGAGGUCAGCGUGGGUUCGGCUCCCAGGACAACCCCGGGCGGGCGCGUCCCCCCGGGUCUCCGCGGGUCCGGACCGAGGAUCGAGAGGGCGGCCUCUGGCCGGGGCUUUUGCCUCCUGCCCUUCUUCGGACCGCUGGCCGAGACGACCUCAUCGGCCCGUCUUGAAACACGGACC
rnacentral:rRNA from 1 species